GGCGAGUGUGGUUCAAACCCCACCUGUUAAUGCUACUGCUGUUGCUGUUUAUCCAUACUGGUUUCCUUUAUAUAAUCGUAUGCGGCCUAUCGGAUCUGUACAGUUAACAGAAGAUCAGAUUUUGGAAAAUGAACUGUGUCACAGGUUGAACACUAGCCUGAAUGCUUUGGUGGAGGAGAAUGAUGAAGUCUCCCCUGAUGAGAGGAC
rnacentral:lncRNA from 1 species